GAUUCCAUUCAGCAUCGGCGCCAUCUGGCAAAAAGACCCGCCUUUCCUCCGCAGCCUCUCCCUCUGACUCUCCACCCUCGGUCCAUGCUUCUCAAACAAAACGUCAUCGAUGGGUACCCGGAAGUUACGGCUUCUCCUUGGCUUUCCCAGAUGGGGGAAAAGAACAACCUCGCCUCAGCGGUCGCAUCGUGUGACAAUCUGAAAACAAAAUCAAGUGAAACUGAAGCCUGGAAGCUGGGAGACAAUGAGGCAACUGUUGAGCUAUUAAACAGAUAAUAGCAAGUGAAUCCAGAGAUGCAGCGCUAAUUCUGGAAUGUUCCAAGAGUUCCUGCGCAAGUAUUUUCAGUUAAAGCUUUAGUAUAGUAA